rnacentral:rRNA from 1 species
AGAGUUUGAUCCUGGCUCAGAACGAACGCUGGCGGCGUGGAUAAGACAUGCAAGUCGAACGAGACUUUUCGUUGUAGCAAUACGAUGGAAAGUUUAGUGGCGAACGGGUGCUUAACACGUGGGCAACCUGCCAUGAAGUGGGGGAUAGCUCGCCGAAAGGCGAAUUAAUACCGCAUGUGAUUAGAGAGGACAUCCUUUCGAAAUUAAAGUCGGGGCAACCUGACGCUUUUUGUGGGGCCCGCGGCCUAUCAGCUAGUUGGUGAGGUAACGGCUCACCAAGGCUUUGACGGGUAGCUGGUCUGAGAGGACGACCAGCCACACUGGGACUGAGACACGGCCCAGACACCUACGGGUGGCAGCAGUCGAGAAUUUUUGACAAUGGGGGAAACCCUGAUCGAGCGACGCCGCGUGGAGGAUGAAGGUCUUCGGAUUGUAAACUCCUGUCAUUUGGGAACAAGGUGCACACGUUAACUGCGUGCGUAUUGAUAGACCAGAAGAG